rnacentral:rRNA from 1 species
GAUGAAUGCUAGCUACAGGCUUAACACAUGCAAGUCGAGGGGCAGCACAGUGUAGCAAUACAUGGGUGGCGACCGGCGCACGGGUGCGUAACGCGUAUCCAACCUUCCCGUUACUCAGGGAUCGCCUUCCGAAAGGGAGCUUAAUACCUGAUGGUGGUCAAAUUCCGCAUGUUAUUUGAACUAAAGAUUUUUCGGUAACGGAUGGGGAUGCGUGACAUUAGGUAGAUGGCGGGGUAACGGCCCACCAUGCCUACGAUGUAUAGGGGUUCUGAGAGGAAGGUCCCCCACACUGGAACUGAGACACGGUCCAGACUCCUACGGGAGGCAGCAGUGAGGAAUAUUGGUCAAUGGUCGGAAGACUGGACCAGCCAAGUAGCGUGAAGGAUGAAGGUUCUAUGGAUUGUAAACUUCUUUUAUACGGGAAUAAAACCUCCCACGUGUGGGAGCUUGUAUGUACCGUAUGAAUAAGCAUCGGCUAACUCCGUGCCAGCCGCCGCAGUAAUAC